AAUCGAUGAAGUCGCGGGGAGAGCUGGGGUCGAGGGAGUCCUGGUGGUCGCGGACGCUGCGGGCGAUGAGGUCCUUCAUGCGCCCGAAGUUCCGGAAAAGGCGUCGGUGCGGCCCAGGGGGUGCUCAUGAUUUGGAAGUUGUCAUUGAUGAGGCGGAUAAUGGUGAGCAGACGUUCAUCGUCGUAGUCAAAGCGGCUGCCGAAGAUCACAGAGCAGAUGAUGUUCGACACCGAGCGGCUGAGCACGAACGUGGGGUCGAAGGGCCUGCCUGAGGGUCAGGGGCAGAAUGAGUCAAGGGGCACAUUGUGCAACACACCGGAUUCCUGAAUGGCAGUACAACGAGGCAAGGUCACUUGGAGCACAAAACAAGUGCUCGUUGGCCACCCAGCAUGCGUCAUAACCGCAAGAGUACCUGGCAACGCAGAACCCACAAGGCCCUGCGGCACAUCCACACCACCACCAAGCAACGGAACAGGCUCCUCUUCGCCAUCCGACCCGCAGCACGCACCACGCAAGACAACACACGCAAUAAACAAUACAAUACUAGGUCAGCACCUGACAACACUACAGCCUCAGCCAGCAGUGACACAGCGACACAACCCCUAACACCCAGUGGUCUGACCACUGAAAGGAUCACAGAAAACAGCCCAUUAGCCAUGCCACACAGCACGGCCCAGAAAACUGAGUCUGGACUUAGAUAGAUACAGUUUGGACUUGGCCUUGGCUUCUUAAUCUCUGUGUGACCUGGAUAAACUGACUUCCCUUCUCUGAACCUCAGCUUUCUCGUCUGUAAAAUGGGCUUGGUGACAGUCUUCUCCUCAUGGGGCUGGUGGAAGGAGUUGGAAGUGUGGCUGGGUAAGGGCCUGGCCCAUCCUGAGCCUGUAUAAGCCGGGGUGCUGUGGUAGGCUGAAUAAUGCCCCCCCCCUCCCCAAAUGUCCAUGUCCUAAUCUCUAAGAGCCUGUGAACCUGUGAUUAAAUUGAGGAUUUUGAGAUGGGGAGAUUAUUCUCUGGCUUAUCCGAGUGGAUCUAAUGUAAUUACAAUGGAGGCGGAAGGGUCUGAGUAAGAAAAGGUGAUGUGAUGAUGGAGAGGGAGAGUGAGGGAGGAGGGAGAGAGAGAGAGAGAUAGAAAUACGGAUAUUGGGAGAUGCUGUGUUGCUGGCUUUGAAGAAGAGGGGAAGGGACCACGAGGUCAGGAACGUGGGUGGCCUCUAGAGGCUGGAAAAGGCAAGGAAAUGGAUUUUCCCCUAGAGUUUCCAGGAGUCAGCUCUGCCCACCCGUUUUAGUUUUAGACUUGGAUUCCAGAACUGUAAGAGAAUAAAUGUGUGCUGCUUUAAGUCA